CUACACUGGCAAUAGAGCGCUGGAGCCUCUGCACAAAUAGCCUUAAGUCUCUUGUAGAGAUGUCUGGCAUGAAAUAACAAAACUUCCAUUGACCUCAAUGGAACCAGGAUUUCACUCUGUUCUAAAAGCAACCAGCACUAUAUUUAUUUGAAAUAUCAGAUAUCAUAGGAGUCACCCUUUUGUGAUUUACCAUUUUUACUUUGUUGGCCAAACUGAAAGUUGUGAUUUUAAAAAGGGAGUUCUGCUAAAAAACUGGUAGAAUGAUAUAUCCCCAUUUACAGUUUUUAGUCAGAAGACAAGCUAUUAAUGUUUGGAUAUUUUUAUUUUAUGUAUAUACAUUGGCAAGGAGGGAAAGAAA